rnacentral:rRNA from 1 species
AUUGAACGCUGGCGGCAUGCUUUACACAUGCAAGUCGAACGGUAACAGGCCGCAAGGUGCUGACGAGUGGCGAACGGGUGAGUAAUGCAUCGGAACGUGCCCAGUCGUGGGGGAUAACGCAGCGAAAGCUGCGCUAAUACCGCAUACGAUCUAUGGAUGAAAGCGGGGGACCGAAAGGCCUCGCGCGAUUGGAGCGGCCGAUGUCAGAUUAGGUAGGUGGUGGGGUAAAGGCUCACCAAGCCAACGAUCUGUAGCUGGUCUGAGAGGACGACCAGCCACACUGGGACUGAGACACGGCCCAGACUCCUACGGGAGGCAGCAGUGGGGAAGUUUGGACAAUGGGCGCAAGCCUGAUCCAGCAAUGCCGCGUGCAGGAAGAAGGCCUUCGGGUUGUAAACUGCUUUUGUACGGAACGAAACGGUCCGGGCUAAUACCCUGGGCUAAUGACGGUACCGUAAGAAUAAGCACCGGCUAACUACGUGCCAGCAGCCGCUGUAAAAC